AGAUGUGACAAAUUGAUGUAUCCUCCACUAUCAAAUUAAUAUUUUCUAGAUGAAGAUGUAAUCACAAAAGCAUCUCUACUUUGCAAGGACCUCAUACAAACUGCAUUCUUCCUUUCCAGAGACAGGAGCAGAGGGUGAAGGCAAUCACCAGACUGCAGGAAGGCCAGAAUCACCAGUCGAGAGGACGGGAACAGAAGGCGGAGCCAAUGACCAGACUGCAAGAAGGCCAGAAUCACCAGGUGAGGGUACUCCUGCAGGAAUGAGAAAUGUUAGGCAAGCUGUUGUUACACAGUCGCCAAAGACUCACCUCCUCCAUUCAUGGGGCAGAAGAGGAGAUCAUAUCUCUGUAACCAUCACGCAAAAUGCAAAUGAACAGGCCCGCUUGGUGAAAGAGGGUGAGCAAUCUAUGUCAGAUCAGACUUCUAGUGGGAUGGCCAAUGAAACCUACACUGUAAAACAAAUUGUAGAGGUAUUAAAGGAAAAUGAAAUAGCAAGUCGGAGAGACAGGCGUGAAAUAAUUGCUUGCUUGCACGCUGUCAUGGACAUAAUGAGAAGUCAAAGGGGGAAUCAAGAUGGCAACUCUUCCACUGUUUCAGCGCCUCAAAAUCCCUUGCCACAGAAAAGGAAUUAUGCAACCCCCACCUCCUUCUUUAGAGGGACCAUGUUAAGGAGAAAGAAGAGGAAAAUGGCAGGAAAAAAAACAUCUUCAGGCAUCGCCCCGCCAUCGGAAGAAGCUACUCCACCAGCAGAUUUUACACAGGUUGGGGAUACUGAGGCAGACCCAAGUGCUUACCCCAAUGUGGUGGAGGGACUUGAGGAGCAGAGUUCACAGGUAAUACCAGUAAGAGGAAGUAGACAGAGGAAAAGGAAGGAAAUCUACUCUCCCUGACUCUAGUUAUGUCAUAAUGUUGUCAAGCAUAAUUGUGUACAUAAUUGUGUAUGGCUUCAUUAGCCAAAAUCAGAGAGGGUAGGCACCAUCUGCUAUUAUCAAAUGAGGUAUCUGAACCCUGUUGACGAUGAUAAUAGGGUUCCCAGGGACAAACAUUUCUCUGAAGGUGCCAGCCACAGAUGCAGGCGAAACGUCAGGAAUAAACUCUUCUAGAACAUGGCCACAGAGCCCGAAAAACCCACAAAAAUCUGUGUACAUAACUGUUUAAAAUGUUCAAGAAACCUUUUGUUUAAAAAGGAAAAAUAUGUUUACACUGUUUUUAGAAAAACAAAGUUUAAUAAUUUUUUAGUGUUAAUCUUGUUCAAUAAAAAGUUGACUUAUAAAUAA